UACGUAGGGUGCAAGCGUUAUCCGGAAUUAUUGGGCGUAAAGAGAUGCGUAGGCGGUCUACUAAGUUUUUGGUGAAAGCCCCAGGCUUAACCUGGGAACGGCCAAGAAUACUGGUGGACUUAGAGGGAAUCAGGGGGUGCUGGAACUCGUGGUGUAGUAGUAAAAUGCGUUGAUAUCACGAGGAACGCCAAAGGCGAAGGCAGGCACCUGGGAUUUUCCUGACGCUGAGGCUCGAAAGCGUGGGGAGCGAAACGG
rnacentral:rRNA from 1 species